GUAAAGGAACUUUUGUAAAUAGGCCUUUAGUAACGUGGUGGUGAGGUGUGGAGUGAGAGGAAGUGUUCUAUAGUCCUCAGAUUAGAGCUCAGUCAUUUGGUGAGCCUGUCUCUGGACUGUGAACUUUAUAAGAGUUUCUCAGUUUUUUUUCCUCUUAGAUGAGACAGGAUGGCUGGAGUGCGCUGGAGUUGGAUAGUUUCCUUCUCCCAGGUGGAAGACAAGAGCAGGCCAGAAUUGGGUAUUUCCCUUCCCCCAGGUCACUUCGGCUCUGAUAAUAUCCCAGCAGGUUAGGAUCUGGUUAACUAGUUUCCACUGAGGCAGGCCUUGUUAAGAAAAGGCAUAGGGGCUGGCCUGAUUGCACAGUGGUUGAGUUUGUGUGCUCUGCUUCAGGUGCCCACAGUUUGCAGGUUCAGAUCCUGGGCACAGACGUAGCACCACUUGUCAAGCCACCCUGUAGUCGCAUCCCACAAAAUAGAGGAAGGUUGGCACAGAUGUUAGGUCAGUGACAAUCUUCCUCGCCUCACACACACGCAAAAAAGAUUACACUGGCAUAUUUCAAAAUGGUUCUUUUUUCCCCUCCCCCUACUGGAAGCACAAAGGAGAUUUUUCUCCAGUAUAUACUGUGGGAAUCUGGUUGAGCUCCUGGAGGUGAAUCUCACAGUAUUGUUGGGUUGGGGAGGUCCCCCUUUGAUUGAGUCCACCUGGGGAGUUUUUAACUCUUAGCGUUGUCCUCAUUGAGCCUCCAACAAUUCAUCAACUUUAGUUCUGGGUUUUCUUCCCGGCGCUGCUUCCUGCAGUGGUAUUGGCUCCUGAUUCUCUGCUCAGAUCUCAUCUAGGAGAAAGGUGAAGAUUCAUAUUUUGAACUCACACAAUGGAGAGUCCUCAGCUACUGUCAUUAGCACUGCCACUAAACACUGCAAAUCUCUGAAACUUGAAAAUACCAAUUGAGAACUGAAAAUCUGAAGAUUUAUAGAGGAUGUGAGAUAUUCUCAUAUCACUUUACCCUCUGAUUCACCUAACCAUCUAGAACAUGGGCAGUGAAAGACAUUAGCAGAUACUAACUAUUAAAAGAAUGAUGGUUAAAUCGUAACUUCACAAAGAGCUCAGAGGAAAAAGCAGACCUCUGCCUGCGGUGGUGUUAGCAGUGCACCUCAUUGGUAAUAUUGUGUCAGCUUAAAGGAGGGAAAGGGCCAUAGAAGCACACAAGUGAAAUGAAACAACCAACAGAAUGGUGACUAAGCUUUUAGGUUUCUUUCUCUCUUGUAAAUAAUAAGAUUCUCCUAUCUCUCUCCAUCUAUACCCUAGAGUUCAGUUCACUAAAAAAGAUAACAAUGGGUUCUAUAAUAAGAGUAUCGUUAAAAGUCAUCCUCAAGAAGAGGUUAAUAAAUACAUACUUUCACUUGCUUUUGUAAUGAACUCAUUGCAAAGCUAUGCUAAAACAUAAUAGCAUUGACAUAGCACGUAUUGCAUUAAAACUGAACAGUAUUUCCCUCAGAUUUGCAUGUAAUGUCAUUUUGUCAUAUUUUCUAGACUUGAAAAUGUGUCAUAAUUGGUUAUCUCCAAGGAACUCUGGACUCACACAUAGUGUGAUAAGAAUAAGAAAGUAUUUAAUUAGCCAAUAAUGACUCAGCUGUGUUUUGUUUUUCUAUAUAGUUUUUUGGACACAGUAAUAUCCUCAGGGGUGGCCUAAAAAUGAAGGUUAAUUUAUGCUCAACUUAUAACAAUGUCCCAUGUCUGACCAGAAUUUACAUCAGACAGUGAAAUGGGCUUUUAAAUAGCUUUUCUUUAAGAGAAGCUGAAGGGAAAAAAAAAUGUGCAAAAAGACGAAUAGGCAAAGUGCAUUGUGGUUUAUUUGCUUUGUGCUAGUAAAGCAUCCUGUAUUAUGCAGUUCCCCAUGGAAAUAAUCCCCGCCUUAAGGGUUUACAGCAUGAACAUUCAGAAGUAUC
ensembl:lncRNA